CCUGGCUCAGGAUGAACGCUAGCGGCAGGCUUAACACAUGCAAGUCGAGGGGCAUCGGGAGUAGCAAUACUUGCCGGCGACCGGCGCAAGGGUGCGUAACGCGUGAGCAACAUGCCCGUAUCAGGGGGAUAAUCCAUGGAAACGUGGUCUAAUACCCCAUAGUAAUUAUGUAAGGCAUCUUAUAUAAUUUAAAGCUUUGGUGGAUACGGAUUGGCUCGCGUGACAUUAGCUGGAUGGUAAGGUAACGGCUUACCAUGGCUACGAUGUCUAGGGGUUCUGAGAGGAAGGUCCCCCACACUGGAACUGAGACACGGUCCAGACUCCUACGGGAGGCAGCAGUGAGGAAUAUUGGACAAUGGAUGGAAAUCUGAUCCAGCCAUGCCGCGUGCAGGAAGACGGCCCUAUGGGUUGUAAACUGCUUUUGUAUGGGAGCAAUAAGGGCUACGUGUAGUCCGAUGAGAGUACCAUACGAAUAAGCACCGGCUAACUCCGUGCCAGCCGCUGC
rnacentral:rRNA from 1 species